rnacentral:RNase_MRP_RNA from 1 species
CUUGGGGAAAUUCCCCGGACAUAAAGACAGAGAGUGUCGAUCCGGAAACGGAUGCCUUUGGCGAGGCCCACUCAUCGUGGCAACGAUGGCACUUUCAUUGCCGGAGUCCUGACGUGUGGCCUUGUGAAAGCUGUCGUAGCAAAGUUAUGCCAUGACUCAAAAACUCAACGGGGAUUACUCCUG